rnacentral:rRNA from 1 species
UGCGAUGGCGUGUGGAUGUGAUGAUGCAAUGUGAUUUCUGCCCAGUGCUCUGAAUGUCAAUGUGAUGAAAUUCAAACAAGCGCGGGUAAACGGCGGGAGUAACUAUGACUCUCUUAAGGUAGCCAAAUGCCUCGUCAUCUAAUUAGUGACGCGCAUGAAUGGAUUAACGAGAUUCCUACUGUCCUUACUUUCUAUUUAGCGAAACCACAGCCAAGGGAACGGGCUUGGGAUGAUCAGCGGGGAAAGAAGACCCUGUUGAGCUUGACUCUAGUCUGACAUUGUGAAAUGACUUAGGAGGUGUAGCAUAAGUGGGAGCAUCUGCAAUCUUGAAAUACCACUACUCUUGAUGUUAUUUUACUUACUCUGUGAAACUGAAGCGUGCUCAUGGCAUGGUGUGGAUUAACUAUGGCAUACUGCCUUAUAUUUGUGUGGGAAACAUCGUUAGGUGGGGAGUUUGGCUGGGG